AAUAGUAUGGUGUAUUGGCAUUCUGUUUUUUGGUAACUGAGGCGAUUUGUUUUCUGCUAUUU
rnacentral:tRNA from 1 species